GACGAACGCUGGCGGCGUGCUUAACACAUGCAAGUCGAACGGAAAGGCCAGUGCUUGCACUGGUGCUCGAGUGGCGAACGGGUGAGUAACACGUGGGUGAUCUGCCUUGCACUCUGGGAUAAGCUUGGGAAACUGGGUCUAAUACCGGAUAGGAACUGCCUCUAGUGUGGUGGUUGGAAAGAUUUUUCGGUGCAAGAUGAGCUCGCGGCCUAUCAGCUUGUUGGUGGGGUAAUGGCCUACCAAGGCGUCGACGGGUAGCCGGCCUGAGAGGGUGUACGGCCACAUUGGGACUGAGAUACGGCCCAGACUCCUACGGGAGGCAGCAGUGGGGAAUAUUGCACAAUGGGCGGAAGCCUGAUGCGGCGACGCGGCGUGGGGGAGGACGGCCUUCGGGUUGUAAACUCCGUUCGACAGGGACGAAGCGUUAUGUGACGGUACCUGUAUAAGAAGCACCGGCUAACUACGUG
rnacentral:rRNA from 1 species